rnacentral:rRNA from 1 species
AGCGAACGCUGGCGGCAGGCUUAACACAUGCAAGUCGAGCGGGCAUCCUUGUGGUGUCCGCGGCAGACGGGUGAGUAACGCGUGGGGACGUGCCCUUCGGUUCGGAAUAACUCAGGGAAACUUGAGCUAAUACCGGAUACGUGCGAGAGCAGAAAGGUUUAUCUGCCGAAGGAUCGGCCCGCGUCUGAUUAGCUAGUUGGUGAGGUUAUGGCUCACCAAGGCGACGAUCAGUAGCUGGUCUGAGAGGAUGAUCAGCCACACUGGGACUGAGACACGGCCCAGACUCCUACGGGAGGCAGCAGUGGGGAAUAUUGGACAAUGGGGGCAACCCUGAUCCAGCCAUGCCGCGUGAGUGAUGACGGCCUUAGGGUUGUAAAGCUCUUUUCUCCGGGACGAUAAUGACGGUACCGGAGGAAUAAGCCCCGGCUAACUUCGUG